rnacentral:rRNA from 1 species
AUGGGGAGGGCGCCGUGCUGCGACAAGGCGACGGUGAAGAGGGGGCCAUGGUCACCGGAGGAGGAUGCGAUGCUCAAGGCCUACAUUGAGGAGCGUGGCACCGGCAACAACUGGAUUGCAUUGCCACACAAGAUUGGGCUGAAGAGGUGCGGCAAGAGCUGCAGGCUGAGGUGGCUCAACUACCUGAGGCCCAACAUAAAGCACGGGGACUUCACCCCAGAGGAGGACAGCACCAUCUGCAAGCUCUACAUUAGCAUCGGAAGCAGCCGCAGCAGCAGCUUCGAUGUAACAGUAGCUGCUGAGCAGGGGCAGUCCAGCUCCCUGAACGAUCAGAACCUCGGCGGACAGCAGCAGAUGGAGACGACAGCCACCAUGGACGGCCUGGCCUCGCCGUCGAGCGCGGGCAACUCCAACAUCGUCACCAUCGAAGCCGAGCUUCAGGAGCUUCUCUACAGCGCUACGACGACGACGACCGACAGUGUCGUCACGCAGCAAGGGGGUGUGGACUGGUGGAGCUAUGAGCAGGGCAGGUCCCCAGUGAACUGCUGGGACUUCACCCCUGAAACCAGCUCGGUUCUCCAGGACUACACGUCCGUGGUGUAUGACAUGUGA